CCCAGUUGCCAGGAGAGGUGCUCUCCCCAUCUGACGGAGGAGACACCGAACCUGGGGUCUCCCUGCACCCAAUCACCCUAUGACAACCCACAGUGGCCGCUGCUACAGGCCAGAUCCUUCUAUGCCCAGGCCUGACCCCAAGGGGAGUGGAGGCAUCGGAACCCUGGUCAUCGGGCAGCCUGGGGUCAAAAUUCAGUGGGGGACCUGCCCAGUUCUGGGCGAGUCUAGGGUUUGCCAGGAAGACAGAGCUGGGAUGACCUCCCCUCUGAGCUAGUCACAGGGUGUGGAGAGGGGCAGGGGGUCACCUUGGUGUGCACUCAUGUGGACACGUUUGCUCCCAGACACACACAUGCUCACAUACGCCAGGGGACUUAGCCCUAUCUCCCUGAGGUGGAGGCUGUGGAGGACCUUGCCCUGCCACCUGCCUCAGGGGACCCCUGGUCCCAGGGGGGCUAGCGAGGCCACUAAGGCCAGCACACGGGGGUCUCUAUCCCGGACCAGUGAGGCCAGCACACGGUGGUCUCUAUCCCAGGCCAGUGAGGCCAGCACACGGGGGUCGCUAUCCUGGACCAGUGAGGCCAGCACACGGGGGUCUCUAUCCCAUCCAGUGAGGACACCACACGGGGGUCUCUAUCCCGGAGCAGUGAGGCCAGCUGCCCACCCCAGGCUUCCUGCUAAACAUCCUCCCUCCCAAAGAUUUCUGGAGUCUGCCCUGCCUUCUGCCCCCAGCCCCCACGUCUCCCCCAUCCUCCUCUGGACCCCCAUCCUCCACACCCAGCCUGAGGCAGCCCCGCACGUCUCCCCCGUCCUCCCCUGGACCCCUGUCCUCCACACCCAGCCUGAGGCAGCUUUGCAGAUUCCACCUAGAAACCCACGUGCCUCGUGGGCCCUGGGUCUGGGGAGGAAGGUGUCUCCAGGGCCUGGUGCCCCAGCAUCUUGGGCAGCAGGGGGCACGGCCCAGUCCCCAGCCCGCACAAGCAACACUUACAAUGACCACCUGGCAGACAUGGCCGCGACAGCGCUCCGAGUAGGACGAGUAGUGCACGUACACCAGCCAGCUGCCUGCAAAGACGCCCAGCCAGGCCAGGAAGAUGCAGCGGACCCUGAGGCCUGGGAGCCG
rnacentral:lncRNA from 1 species